GAUCCUGGCUCAGGAUGAACGCUGGCGGCGUGCCUAAUACAUGCAAGUCGAACGCGCAGCGAGAGGUGCUUGCACCUUUCAAGCGAGUGGCGAACGGGUGAGUAACACGUGGAUAACCUGCCUCAAGGCUGGGGAUAACAUUUGGAAACAGAUGCUAAUACCGAACUAAAACUUAAGUAUCGCGAUAGAUAUCAAGUUAAAAGGUACGUUACGGUCGUCACCUACGAGGAUGGAUCCGCCGGUGG
rnacentral:rRNA from 1 species